rnacentral:rRNA from 1 species
ACGGGGCCCGCACAAGCAGUGGAGUAUGUGGUUUAAUUCGAAGCAACGCGAAGAACCUUACCAGGGCUUGACAUGCAGGUGAAUAAGCAAGAGAUCGCUUAGUCCUUCGGGACACCUGUGCAGGUGGUGCAUGGUUGUCGUCAGCUCGUGUCGUGAGAUGUUGGGUUAAGUCCCGCAACGAGCGCAACCCUCGACCUUAGUUGCCAGCAUUCAGUUGGGCACUCUAAGGUGACUGCCGGCUAAAAGUCGGAGGAAGGUGGGGAUGACGUCAAAUCAUCAUGCCCCUUAUGACCUGGGCUACACACGUGCUACAAUGGGCGGUACAAAGGGUCGCGAACCCGCGAGGGGGAGCCAAUCCCAAAAAGCCGCUCUCAGUUCGGAUUGCAGGCUGCAACUCGCCUGCAUGAAGCCGGAAUCGCUAGUAAUCGCGGAUCAGCAUGCCGCGGUGAAUACGUUCCCGGGCCUU